GGCAAUUAGAACCAAUUUUCAACCGAUGAGCUUGGAUUAUUGUACAGCUAUAGAUGUUUUGGUUCAGAGUGCCAGCCUGUCAACUGUAUAUUUUGAAACCCGAAUUAAGGACUAUAAACACAGGUAGAGGACAGAUGACUUGGUGACUUUUGAAAGAAAUGCGAAAGGGUGAAGGACAUGCAGAUUGAGUAUGUUCAGAGGGUGAUGGAGCUGGACGCUGCAGAGAACCACCACAAAUUCCUCUUUGAGGCUGUGGCCGGCUUCAACCUGGCCAAAACUAGGCACAGAGGUCGGAACUUCAUUGGCCAGUGGGGCAACCACCAUGGGGGCAACCAUGUGUGCUGCAAUAUCAGAGGAUGGUGUGGUGGGACGCGUACCUCUUAUUGGAUCCUAUAAUGCAGCUCUCCAUGUAAACUUCCUACAGUAGGUCUGUCAAGCUGAUGGAGUGACUUACGAAAUGGUGUGGGACAUAUUGUGUCUUUUUCUCUCGACAUAUAUCUUGCAGAGGCAGGAGUUUGUAGUUUUCAGAUGGACUUUAUCAGCAGCUAACAAAGCCAGGAGAAUCCAUGGAAUCUCCUAUUUUCUCAAUGUUUUAUACAGAGGGAACAUGUCCCUCCUAUCUAGGGUGUCUGAUAACCAAUAACAUACUGCAUAUGCUGAUACAUCAUUAAUAAUUAAACAACCAACACACUUGGGCAUUGUGCCACUAUUACCUCUUAUCUUAUAUGUUCAAAUUUCCUUUCCCUCGCUUUCUGGUUGCUUGGAGUUUUUCCAGCACACAUCCGGUUUUUCUCUUAUCCUGUUGUUUUUCUCAAUUUUUGCAUACACAGGAUGCUCCCACAGUUAAAGCACUUGAGUGAUUCAACAACACAUUUCACCUUAUCUAACCCAGCUCAUGUACUUAUUUCACCUUUCUUUACGAGGUCCUUCAUGUGCGCUGGUUUUUAUACAACCAGUACAAGAACACACAGUUUACUAAUACAGACAAUGUUAGGUUCCACCAUUCUGAAAUGGUGCAGGCAUGGCUUCAGCUCAUCCAGUUUAUAACCCUGUACUACAUACUCACCUUUCCUCUGCCCAAUUGACGAAUUCUUCUCAGCACGGAGGUGGAAGGUUUAUGACCGUCGCCCUCAGGACCAUGCCACCCUCCUCCAUCACAGUGACAUCACAGCAGAUCAAUGUCAGGCCUGGAUUCGCCAUGCAAGAAGAUUUUAUUUCCCAGAUGUAUGGCAAAUGAAAAUAUCCAGUGUGAUGUGGAUGAGAACUUAUGGCCAAAUCCACAAAAGAGGCUUGAUGUUAAAUAACAAAUAUUUUGUUUUCACUGCAGUUGAGUGUUUCUUCCACUGUUGCUGUGGCUCAAACAAUUGUUGCAAUUGUAUUCAAUAAAUUCAGAUUUUGUCCAAAGA